rnacentral:rRNA from 1 species
AUGGAGGAUUUCGUUUCAUGGAAUUAUAACCGGACAGGGAUAUUCACGGUUAAGACCGCCUAUCAUAUGGAGUGGGAUCACCAGCAUGGACGAAAGUUGAGGAGAACCAAUUCUAUGAUCUCCGCAAGUACUAGUCCUAUAUGGAGUAUUCACUGGAAAUUGCGAGUCCCAGCCAAAGUGAAAAUUCACUACUGGAGGGCACUAUAUGGUGCAAUACCCUGUCGGGGCAUUAUGGCUAAUCGGCAUAUGAUCACUAACUCACAGUGCCCUAUUUGCGGUCUGGAUUGUGAGAGUAUCAGCCAUGCUUUCUUCAAGUGUCAACGUGUUCAAGCUGUCUGGUGUGCACUGGGCAUGGCAAACAGGAUCAACGAGCUUUGCUCCCUCGAAAGGGAAGGUGCGGCAGUGUUGGCUGACCUACUUCUAACUCCUAAUGUACCGGCACAGCUGCUUCCGAGUGUUAACUGUAAAGAGUUAAUCGCAACGACAGUUUGAGCAAAGAAAAAGGGUCCAGGCCAGAUUGAGAGACAUGGAUGGACCAAGCCAAGUGAGGGAUUUGUAAAACUCAACGUAGAUGCCUCUUUUUCUGAGGACAGUGGUUCAGGGGGUUCAGGUGCAAUCUUACGCGAUGCUUCUGGAUCUUUCAUUGCAGCAUCAUGUAGCGACAUUCGGUUCGUUGAGGACGCGGCGACGGCGGAAGCCCGAGGGCUCCGAGAUGGCCUCAUUCUCGCAAACGACAUGGGCUGCAACAAACUGGUGAUUGAGGCCGACUGUAUGGAAGUAAUCCAAGUGAUGCAAUCUGGAGGCAACUCGCUUGGACCGGCAGCAGCUAUUUAUGAGGAGUGCGCUUUUAUUUGUCGUAAUUUUGCUUCAGUUAGUUUUCAACACUGCCCUAGGGAAGCCAAUAUGGCGGCUGAUAUGUUAGCUACUAUGUCGGAGGACUCGCGAACCAUUGUAUGGCAGUCCGAGCCUCCGGGUUUUUUGUUAGACAUUUUGUCAGAAGAUGUAGCCCUUUUUGCUCAUGAAAUAUAA